ensembl:lncRNA
CUAGGUUUCCAGUCUUUAUCUCCCCUUGAAUCUUACCAUCUGUUCUUAUUUGGCAGUGCAGCUUUUGUGGUCAGUCUCAGAUGGAAUGGAAUCCUUCACUCUCUGUACCUUCUGGAUUUCACAGUCCUGAAAUGAGUCUCAGAAGCCUGUGAUCUGUUAGACCUGCACACUACUGAAGUGAAAAAAAGAAUGAAACGUAGAAUGUGGAAAGAAGACAGCACUGUUUUUUCUCAUAUUUGUUUUCCUUAUCAGCAAGUCCAACUUUGAAAAGCUGUCUUUGAUUUUGAAAUUUCUCUGCUGUUAUCCUAGAGACUUGUGUAAAUAUUUAGAGAUAUAAAUGCUGUUUUUUGGAGUAAGAGAUACCUGCGCUUUUGUGCACAGCAGUCAGAGAUGAAGUUUUUACAAUAUUCCCUUACAGUAUCCCUGUUUUCUUUAUUUCUGAAAGUUGACAUUGAAAUCAAAUCGGAUCAGUUUCUGGCUUAUGCUUUAAUGAGGUACCAAAGGGCAGUUAAGGAUCUGCUUCUUGAAAUGAUAUGUCUGAAUGAAAACCCACCUGUUGUUUCCUUUUGUCAGCUGUCCUCAGAUUCUCUUCUCAGUCAAAUCUAUGAAAUAAUUUGCCAGUUGUUGCAGUCUGUCAACUACACCUGUUAACUAGAAG